GGCCGGGUAGCUCAGUCGGUAGAGCAGGGGACUGAAAAUCCCCGUGUCGGGGGUUCGAUUCCCUCCCCGGCCACCA
rnacentral:tRNA from 15 species